UUUCGAUUAUUCGCUUCUUGAAGAAAUCUUCGGUGACAUUGAAUGCCUUAACCGUCAACUUAUAGACGCCGAAAAACAACUUUCUCGAUUUUUUAAGAUUUUAUCUAUUAAACGGGAAAACAAUUUUUGCGAUCUCCAGUGGUGCCAUUGCCAAGUGGAGCACCUUAUUGAAAGGAGGGCAAAGUUAUUAGCGGACAUCCAACAGUUAUCCGUAGGGAGCUUCCAGUAAAAAUAUUGAAGAGUUCAGAUUUUGGGGGAUCAUUAAGCCGGUGUGCCAACUGCUUAUUUAAAAAAGGAGAUCAAGCUCGUUUAUAAGGAAUCAAAAAUGUUUAUGUGUGAAAAAUGUAAUAAAUCAUUCGCUACUAAUAGCAAUCUUCGACGCCAUCUCAAAAAGUCAUGUAGAGCUCAAGAACCAUCUCCAAAGAAGCUCAAAGUUGCACACGAUACCCAGAGAUUUUGCGAUGUGUGUUCGGAGCACGUUUCAAGCCGAGAUUAUGUUGGACAUUUGCGAAGUGUCAAACAUAAAAAUAAUUCCCUUGCGUUUUCAACUGAAGGUGUUCAAGUAAUUACGUCGGCCUUCAAAUCUCGCAUUGUGAGCUACAGAAUAUCAGCGAAUACACAAUACAUUAAUCUGAAGGAAUUUGUCGAAUCGUUGGCUGACGUAAUAAAAAAAUUAGUUCGUGAGCAAAUUGAUAUCAUGGGUAGCGUUAAGGUGAACUGCGAGCUGUUUGGUUAUUUUAUUUUGGAAUCGAAGGAUCGAGGAGAAGUUAAGUCUUUUAAUACUCGUAACCAAGUAUUGACGAUAAGUUCCGACUUAAGUGAAUGGUUUAAGGAUAUCAU